GACGAACGCUGGCGGCGUGCUUAACACAUGCAAGUCGAACGGAAAGGCCUGCUUUCCCUUGUGGAUUGCGGGUACUCGAGUGGCGAACGGGUGAGUAACACGUGAGUGAUCUGCCCCCAACUUGGGUAUAAGCCUGGGAAACUGGGUCUAAUUCCCGAUAGGACUGCAGGGUGGUGCCUGUGGUGGAAAACGAUUUUCUAGUGGUUGGGGAUGAGCUCGCGGCCUAUCAGCUUGUCGGUGGGGUAAUGGCCUACCAAGGCGGCGACGGGUAGCCGGCCUGGGAGGGUGGACGGCCACAUUGGGACUGAGAUACGGCCCAGACUCCUACGGGAGGCAGCAGUGGGGAAUAUUGCACAAUGGGCGGAAGCCUGAUGCAGCGACGCCGCGUGGGGGAUGACGGCCUUCGGGUUGUAAACUCCUUUCGACCGCGAGGAAGCCACCUGGUUGGAAGGGUGGUGACGGUAGUGGUAGAAGAAGCACCGGCUAACUACGUG
rnacentral:rRNA from 1 species